UUGUUCUAGAUUUUUCUAUUUCAUAUUCAUGUAAGGACAAUACUUCGCGGCCCAGCUAUGGGCAGCCCUUCCUAAACAAGAGUGGCGUGUCUCACUCCUGGUCCAACACGUGUUGUUUUUUUUUGGCCAUCAUUUGUGUCUUCUGUUUUCCUUCUCCUUCUUCCUCUUCUCCACUCCUUAUCACGUCCUCACCCCAACCAAAUUGACCAUCCCCAAACCUCACUCCUUCUCCUCUUUAAUUCUAUGAGGACGACCCAACCUGCGAAGGUGGUGGUCGGGGAGAUGGAUCAGACGGUGGUGGUCGGAGAUGUAAGUCUUUUCCAGUGAGAAUCAAUUGUGGGAGUUUGAGCUCCAAUGAUCGCUUUGGUGAGUCGAAUCAGAGACAAUUUCCGAGCUCCAAUCCGUCUGCAUUUACUAGAAAUCCAGGGAUGGAUAGAAGGUUUGAUAACAAAUUUAGGGAUAAUGCUGUGUAGGAAGAUGAGUUUUCGGGGAGGAGAGGUCCGAAUUUCAGAGGGAAUCGAAUGCAAGUUCGAGUUCUUUAAGUAAGAGAGGAAGGAGAAGGUGGAUUCGGUUUCAGACGAGGCGGCGAGGGGUUGAGGAAAGGUGGGAGAGAUUCGAGAAAGAUUGUGGUGGAUGAUAGGGAGUGGAGAAGAGGAAGAGAAAGAACAAAAGAUGGGAUAAAAAAAAACACGUGUUGGACCGAGAGUAAGACACGCCAAUCUUGGUUCGGAAGAGUUGCCCAUAGCUGGGCAGCGAAGUAUUGUCCCUCAUGUAAUUGAUCUUGUGUGAUGGAAAAUGGAGCAAGAAGAUGGUGCUAUAUUGAUUCAUAUGUCAGAGUCAAUAAUCUAGCAGUAUGUGGAUUGCUCAUGCCAUAAAUAUCUGAACCAUGUCUUUCUCACUUGUAGUCUGGUCUUACUGGAGAGUCACUUUUAGUGACCAAAAAUCCUGGUUGUGGCGUUUACUCAAGAUCAACAUGCAAACAAGGAGAAAUUGAAGCAGAUGUUAGUGCAACAAGAUUCUAGAUUUUGUUGUCUAAGUAACUUCCAACAAGAUUUCAGAUUUUGUAUAGAAGAAGAAUGGUAUUAUCAAAAGUUCCAUGCGGUGUAUGUAGUGUUCUCAUCCUAUGAAGGAUAUUUGUAAUGUGAUAUAACACAUGUUGCAUCCUCUUCGACUUGCUUCGCUUCCUUGCACCUUUCCUUUUUGGAGAUGUACCUAUGGUUCCAAUUUACUAUAUGUCAUGAUGUGAUCAGUCAUUGUAUUAUAAUUUAGUCUAAGAUAUGCCAUGACUUGUUACAGGAUUC